ACGAUACCCACAGAAAAGAAAAGAAAGACGGAUAUUCGUAGUGACGGAUUCGUUUUACCAAUAGCGAUAAAAUGAUAUACCUACAAAAAAAGAAAAAAAAUUGAUAUCCGUAGCGACGGAUUCAUUUUAGUCAUAGCAAUAGAAUGACACCUACAAAAAAGAAAAAAAUACAAGCAUAAAAAGUAUUGAAAAAAUUUAUUUUACUUACCGUAUGAAUCAUCGUUCGUGCUACUCCUUUCUUUUGCUCGAUAAAUAUUUGGCCGAAGCGACAGAUUCUUUUUGUGAUACUCUCUACUUUUGGGCGAUAAAUAUCCAGCUGAAGCAACAGAUUCUUUUGCAAUACUCCCUCCUUUUGCUCGAUAAAUAUCCGACUAAAGCAACAUAUUUCUUUUGCGAUAUUCCCUCCUUAUGUUCGAUAAACAUCCGACCAAAGCGACGGAAUGUUUCGAGUUGUUUGCGAUAUUCCCCCUAGAAUCGGCAAUUCUGUGUGAAAGUCGUCGAUUUUCCCGUAGGGUGGGGAUGUACUAAGAUUUUGCGAUAUUCCCAUGGAAUCGACGACUUUGUGCAGAAAUUGUCGAUUUUCCCGUGGUAUGGGAAUAUCUUUGAAGAUUUAGGGCUAUAUCUGAAAAUAUCUUCUAUUUUGGAAAUAACAUAUUCGAUUUUUCCUUACGAUUUCCACUUAUUUAGAAAAUAAGAUAUUCAUAAAUCUUUUCUUCGUAAUUUUCAGAUUUUGUGGAGGGUUGUAAUUUUUUCAAAGAUUAUAAAUAGUGGUCGGAUUAUUUUAAUCCUCACUUAAUCCACUCACAAAACCAUAGAGCAAUUGUCGAUUUCCAGCACUUUACACCUUCAAAUCGGCGAUAUCAUGGCUUCCUCGUGAAUAAACCCUAGCUCUCCCCCAAGCAGUCGAAAAUCGACGAUUUCGCCUUGGAGCAGAGCCUUUUUGACACAAUCAACCAGGUUGAAUCUUUGAUAUCAUCCUUCGCCGAGGGUUCAACUCAAGAAGGAGAGGAAUCGGCGAAUCUGAAGGUUUGAAUCACCGACGUCCGACCCAGCCGAGGUCGAAUUAAUUCUGAGUGCGGCUAGGCACAUAUGCUAAGUGUUACCUCCUCUGUGCGGUCGAUGAUUUCCCCUGUGAAAUCAAUGAUUCCCGCGAGUGAGGCUACGCCAAUGUCGGCGAUUAAGGCCGCCCGUAGGAGAAAUCACCGCCCUUGGGGAAUCGGUGAUUGUGCCACCUAAAUCGACAAUUGUUUCUCAUCCUGAACCGACACUUCUGCUUAUAGCGCCCCCUCGCCUCCGAAUGUUAUCAUCACAGAGAAGGGGGAAAUCAUAACUGAAGCGAACACUGAGGUUCACAAACGUAAAGCUUCAGGUGUAUGGAGCCACGUACAAUCUACGUAUGCUCUCCACGUAGGAUAGAUAGUUUUUUAUAACAGAAAUGUAACUAAUUACAUAUAUAAAUACAGUUCAAAUGUAAUUACAGAGCAAUACAAUUUGAUUCAGUUAACUACACUUCAUGUCUU
rnacentral:lncRNA from 1 species